UACGGAGGGUGCAAGCGUUAUCCGGAUUCACUGGGUUUAAAGGGUGCGUAGGCGGGCAGGUAAGUCAGUGGUGAAAUCUCCGGGCUUAACCCGGAAACUGCCGUUGAUACUAUCUGUCUUGAAUAUCGUGGAGGUAAGCGGAAUAUGUCAUGUAGCGGUGAGAUGCUUAGAUAUGACAUAGAACACCCAUUGCGAAGGUAGCUUGCUACACGAUCAUUGACACUGAGGCACGAAAGCGUGGGGAGCAAACAGG
rnacentral:rRNA from 1 species